rnacentral:rRNA from 1 species
UACGUAGGGUGCAAGCGUUAAUCGGAAUUACUGGGCGUAAAGCGUGCGCAGGCGGCUUUGCAAGACAGAUGUGAAAUCCCCGGGCUUAACCUGGGAACUGCAUUUGUGACUGCAUGGCUAGAGUGCGGCAGAGGGGGAUGGAAUUCCGCGUGUAGCAGUGAAAUGCGUAGAUAUGCGGAGGAACACCGGAUGGCGAAGGCAAUCCCCUGGGCCUGCACUGACGCUCGAUGCACGAAAGCGUGGGGAGCAAACAGG